GACGAACGCUGGCGGCGUGCUUAACACAUGCAAGUCGAACGGAAAGGCCUGCUUUCCCUUGUGGAUUGCGGGUACUCGAGUGGCGAACGGGUGAGUAACACGUGAGUGAUCUGCCCCCAACUUGGGUAUAAGCCUGGGAAACUGGGUCUAAUUCCCGAUAGGACUGCAGGGUGGUGCCUGUGGUGGAAAACGAUUUUCUAGUGGUUGGGGAUGAGCUCGCGGCCUAUCAGCUUGUUGGUGGGGUAAUGGCCUACCAAGGCGGCGACGGGUAGCCGGCCUGAGAGGGUGGACGGCGACAUUGGGACUGGGAUACGGCCCAGACUCCUACGGGAGGCAGCAGUGGGGAAUAUUGGACAAUGGGCGGAAGCCUGAUGCAGCGACGCCGCGUGGGGGAUGACGGCCUUCGGGUUGUAAACUCCUUUCGACCGCGAGGAAGCCACCUGGUUGGAAGGGUGGUGACGGUAGUGGUAGAAGAAGCACCGGCUAACUACGUG
rnacentral:rRNA from 1 species